UAUAAUUCCACCCCAUCGUGACUUUCUCUCUCUCCCAUUCUUAUUCAAAAAUUGAAAUCCCUAGUUUUAGGAAUCAGCGGCGGUUUUCCUCACGGCUUCUCCGGAGAAGCCGCCGCCAUCGCUCCUCCUUUCUCCGCCUCGUUAAGGUAGCAAGCGCUCUAGCCCGCCAUCGCCGUCGAUAGGGCUCCGUCGGAAUCGCCGUCUCGACGGAGCCGUCGCUGGAGUCUAGCGGGGUCAUCCUCGCACCGCAUCCGCCUCGCACGCUGCUGCUUCGGUAGCGUCGCCCCUUCCUUUCCAACGUUCUCCGGUGGUUUCACGCCCGUUGCCGUCUCUUAUCCUCCGCCGAACCGUGGCUCUUCCUGCAGCGAAAUCAGUGGCAGAGAGAUGCGUCGCCUCAAUCUCGUGCUCCAGCAACUCGCCAUUUCACUCCACGGAGGCCGCAUGGUGGCCUCCGGCUCCGUACGUUGCCGUCAGGCAUCCUCUCAGACAAGAAGCUAAGUUCCCUUCCCCUUGCUCCCCGUUCGUUCCCUUGUUGACGGUUUACGGCAAUUCGGUGAUUUGGGACUUAUCUAGUCGCGAUCCAACUAAAUUCUUGUUUCCUUGGUUGUUAUUGUGAGUUGGGCAGUAGCUAUGUAAUAUUGAGAUUAUUGGUGCAUGAACUCGAUUGAUCUACUGGGGUUACGGUAUCUAAUCUUUGGUGAUGUCUCUAUGUUUUCUAUGUUCUUGAUACUCAAGUGGUUGAUCUAUAUGAUGCGAAGAGGGGUUGUUGAGGGGGUUACCUUGAUUGAUGAAUCCUUGUUGUGUUCUUGCUGCCAAUUCCUCUCCUUGCUCCUCCCUCUUGCUGCUCUCUUCUUAUGAUAUAAUGUGAAACUUGUGGUGACCGAAAAGUGGGGGAGAAGAGGAGGGUUGUGGCUCCUUAUAUAGCUCUCAACUGUUAACAGCUUGUGCCUGAAAACUUGGGGGACAAAGUCUCUUAUUUUUGGCUGCCAGCUUGCUCCCUUUUGAGCUUUGUGAUACUGUGAUUAUGCUAUAAUGGUGAAAUUCUUGGGAGAAAACAGCCCCUCCUUGGCUGUUUCUCAAGCCUCGAUAAGAGGGUUCCAUUCCUCCAUCCUCUUUGGCUUGUGGUUGGGUUCUCUUACCUUGUGGCAGCCUUGUUUGAUUCCAUAUUGGUGCAAGUUAGGGAUGGGCAACUGUGGCUGAUCUCACAGCAAAUUCUGCCGCCUCUUGGCUGUGCUAUUUGCCUAUUACUUCCACCAUCUUAAUCGAGCUUGCCUCUCCUUCUCCCUUUCUUGUGUGCCUAUUUUUCUAACCCCAAUUUUGUGUUGAUUUGCAGGUCUAGGGCUGCCUCUAUUGGAGUUUUGGUGGAGGUGGGGAUCGAUGAAGGUGUGAAGGAAGACAAAGGAUGAUGAUCUGGCAUUGAUGUUGUUGUCGUCUCUUCCUGAUGAAUUUGAACAUCUGGAGACCACAUUACUCCACGGGAUUUUCAGCGGGGGAUCAAGAUUUGGAUUUAGGGAUUUUCAGCGGGGAAGGAGAUCUACCUCUAAUUCAAACAAACAUCUUGAAGAAUUCCGUUUCAGGGAAAAUCCCCGCCGCUCACCAUCUUCCUCUGGUUUAAAUUGCCGAAGAACAAGAAUCCCAUCUUUGGAUGUACGAAGUUAAGAUACUUCGAUUUCAAAAAAUUCUGAAUAAAGGACUCGAGUUAUGUUUGAUGAAAUGACUCAUAGAGACCGACCUCAAUUUCAUGAACUCCUCGAAGAAGAAAAUCCGACGCCGCUGCUUCUCUGAAUAAUAAAUUUUCUCGAUUGAA